CUUAUUUUGAACGGAAGAGAAGUUGCAUCUCCAUGACGCACAAUCCUCGCCUCCCUUUCCUCUAUCCACAAUCUGCAUCGACCACCGACACCAUCCUUACCUUGCCUUCCGUCCGCCGGCGCUGCUCCAACGCAUGUAUGUAUACCAACACAAGCCUCUAAUACUUACAAUUUCAUCUUUGCUUCGAUUUUAGGUUGUUGAAAUGGUUGUGGUAUGGGAAACUAUUCAAAUGGAGUGGGUGGUGGUGUUGUGCAUGGUGGAAGAGUGGGUACUGGAUUGUAUCAUGGAAGGCUGAGUGAAGGUGGUACCACAUAUGCCAAACCUUCUCUUUCCCUCUUUAUCUAUUACCGGAGGCCAUGGUGUCCUUGUUGGUGGUGUUUCAUUUCCACUGGUCCAAAAUUGGCACAGGAGAUGACUAUGUCCCUCUUGCAAUGAUAAAUACUACUAACAGCACCUGUUAGGCUUCCUAUUCUUAAAAUUUAAUACUUAUUCACUUACUUCAUUUGUGGCUUCUAAGUUAUUCAUCAAGUGUUUACACUCCACACCAUAUUACACUUAUAUGUGUACGUUUGCAGGAAUGUCCAAUUGGCAUUUUUAAAGAUAUGGAAGAAACUAAUGAUCAAGUUAUUAUUUCAGACACACAUUCAUGUAAUGCCUUAAGGGCAUGAGAUUGUUUCUGAGAUGUGGAAGAAACUAAUGACCAUGUGAAGAUUGAUGGGACACAUGAAAAUGAAACUAAGGAUGUAGUGGUUUUAGGUAAAGCAUGCAUCAGAAAAUAAACUUACAAGGGCAACACUACUUGAGCAAACAUUUAUCGGUUUCAAAAACACGAGCAUCCAAAGAUUCAAUGAAACCUAGAACAAGUGGAAAGAAAGGUUUAGUAAUGAAAACAAGAAAAGAAGUCACCAAAAACCUUCUACUCCCUUACCUUGUUUGGGGGUAAGUAAUCUUCUAAAUUUUCAUUUUACAACAGUAUAAGUAAUCUUCUAUUUUUCUUAAUCAUUUAUUUUCAGACACUCAAUUUAAUCUCAUUUGCAUUAAUUGGUUUUCUUGAAAAAAAAACUGUUCGAUGAAACGACCUCAAGGUAAAAGUUUCUUUUGCUAAUCUUAUGUCUUUGUUAGUAAAAGUUGUAUGCCCUACGAAAAUAAACCACAAUACUUGGUUUUAUUACUAUCAUCAUUAGCCAAAGUAGCAAUCUCUAUAAAAACUUGAAGGUUAUGAUCCAUUGGUGGUAAGUCUUGUAAAUUUUUUGUCCAAUGGUUUAUAUGUUCAUGUCAUUUUUAUUCCCAUUAUUUCUACUUCUCUGCAAAGUAGAUGUGCCAAUCUACAGACCCAGUAGGAUGUAUAAAUGGUUGGACAGGUGAUCGACUGAACUUCCCUCACUCAAAAGCAAAUGGUACUGUAGAAGUAUUGCAUCUUAGACGUUGCAGGUUGGAAGUAUGUGAAUAAUUCUAUAGUAUCCAUUCAAAGAAAAACUACAUCCAAAAAUCAUAUUGUUGAAAUAUCAUUUGAUCGGAAAACAAAAUACCAAUCUGAGUUCGGAAAUGUUGUAGCAUUCCAGCAGGCAUUCUAAACAAUUUCUU